rnacentral:misc_RNA from 1 species
AAGAAUUUUUUUUUUUUUAAUUUAUAGGGUCAACAUAUAAAAAUAAAUAAUAAAUUUACUAAAAAUGAAAAAAAUAUAACAGAUGCUUUUUUUCCCCAUAAAUAUUACUCAUUUUUGGAGUAUUCUACCAAGGGCUUAUAAGUGAUAUCCAGUUUUUAUCUAUAACUUGUCUGAUGUUGGUGCAUUUUGGGUUAAAAUAAAGAGUUGAGCAACAGAGAUAGAAUAAUCCUAAUGAUGCUUUUCUCACUUGAGAGUCUUGAAUUCCCAUAACUAUGUUACAGCUUUAUGUAUCCUGAUCAACCUUUUGCAGUAAUUUUCUGUUGUUGAUUAAUGUUUCCAAUUCCCCUAGUAUCCAUGCCUUGCACAUUUCGUUGGUUGAUACCUUUUUGCACAUUCCUAUAUGAUGGAAGUGAGGGUUGGGUUGUGUUAGUAAUAUUCCACUCGUUAGUUGCUUUACUUCAAAGUUAUUCCAACUGCAACAGUAGUUUUAUACAUGUUACAAAUGAACCCCAAUCAACAGAUUCCUUGAUUUAUCAAGAGUAUGAAUUUUAGUUGACAAGCAACUCCCAGCAAGUAUGUUCCUAGAUUUAUUAUCCUUAAAGUGGGAAUUUGGGCUGGACUAUUAUUGAUGUCGAUCCUAGGUAUCCCUUGGAAGUAAAUUAACCAUAGGCUGUAGUAGAUAUCCAGUCUUGUUAAGGCUUAUACCUCUGCUCUAUAACUUUUCCUUGUAUAUUUUUGGAAACUUGUAACAUACCUUGUUAGGGAUUAUUUCAGUUUUCUGUUUACCUUCUCUAGUCACAUCAUCAAAAUUCAAGUCAUUUUUACUAUUGAUGUUUAUACCAAAUGCAGUGUUGUUUUAUGUGUGUGCGUGCGUGAGGACUUGAAAUAUAAACUUGGUUGGAUUGUCCAGCAGGGCCAUUAGACUUGGAUUUUAUUUUGAUUCAAUCAGGGUGUCAGCAUUAAUAAGUAAUUAUAAAUCUGUGGAGUUGAUAGAUAAUUGCUUUGAUAUUCUGCUAAGUAAUAAAGAAGCUUGCUUUGAAGUUGUAAUUUACAAAUGAUUCAAUGUCUCUAAUAACAAUCAGAUCUUUUCAUGCCUAUCAUCUAAUGUGCUGCUUAUCCAUCAAUGUGAUUUUUCACCACUUGCUGUUAUUCAUUUUUUUUAGUAUUACUUUUCAUGCAGCGUUACUUAUUUCACUCUCUAUAUAGCACCUGCAAGAUCAAACUUAUUAGAUGGUUUGUUGGGUAAACUGGAUCAGUAUAUUUGAUGCUGUAGAAUUUUGUUCAUUUAUGUGGAUCUAACAACUAUUUCCUGUAUACUGUGAUUUUAUAUGUGCAUUUCAAUUCUAUGCUAAUUGGUUCUUCUAAAUUGUGUAAUGGAGGUUAUCAGUAUUUAGCAGAAAAAAUGUAUUAUCUGUUUUACUCUCAGUGUCAUUGCAUUUUACUGUUAUAAUAUUUUUUGUACCCUUGAACCCUGGGCAAUCUGGCAUGUAAAUUAUCAGUAUUGUAUAAAAUUGAUCCAUCCUUACGUGGAAGUCACCUGGCCUUUUCUUUUCAUUAUGUGUAUUUAUUCCUUUUAUGGGCAAUGCCAAUAUUUAUUGCAGUUUCAAAGAAGAAACUGUAUUUACAAGGAGGAGCAGCGU